CAGUAGCCACGGGAAAACGGAGGGGGCUAGCGUUGUUCGGAAUUACUGGGCGUAAAGCGCACGUAGGCGGCUUGGUAAGUUAGAGGUGAAAGCCUGGAGCUCAACUCCAGAAUUGCCUUUAAGACUGCCGAGCUAGCAGGUGAGAGAGGUAAGUGGAAUUCCGAGUGUAGAGGUGAAAUUCGUAGAUAUUCGCAAGGACACCAGUGGCGAAGGCGGCUCACUGGCCCGAUACUGACGCUGAGGCACGAAAGCGUGGGGAGCAAACAGGAUUAGAUACCCGAGUAGUCCCUGUCUCUUAUAC
rnacentral:rRNA from 1 species